UUCAAGCCAGAGCAACAGCCAGAGACGCGAAGGUGAGAGGAAUUGCUCUCCCAUUACUCCUGUCUUCUUCACAAGUUUGACAUUUAAUUUCUUUGCUGCGCUUCUUUCUUUUACUUGACAACAUCACUCAUACAGCACUUGCCUAUUUGCACCUUAGCUAUUUCCAUAUCUAUUUUACACGUUAAGCCGUCGAGCAUGCUUUUGGGUGAUCAUCUCAUGACAGAAGUAUCAUAUUUUGGAGUCUCAAGAAUAAAUAGAACCUAUCUUUCCAAAGAAUAAACAGAAUCUAUUUUCUUCAGGCAAUGAGAGAGACACUUGUACAAACUGAUAGAAGAUCUUAUAAUAAAAGAAGGGAUCAAACAAAGUAAUCUUCUUUUUAAGAGAGGAUAUUACUAUUUGUAACUCAUUUUUUAUUAUUUAUAAUUUUAUUUUAAAUUUUUUAAUAUUUUAAAAUUAUCUCACAAAUAGAUAUAAAUAUCAUCAUCUUCUUUCUUCUCCUUAAAAAAAUGAUAUUGAGAUCGAGUAGAGUCGUCGGCAAGCGGUAGCAAUAAGUAAUGUUGAUUGCGAUGAUGAAAUAAGUGAUUGUGAGAAGAAAAAAAUAAAAAUAAAAUAAAAUGAUAAUACAAGGAUGGUUAAUAAUAAAAUAAUAUUUUAUUAUUUUUUAAAUGAUUGCCCAUAGUAAGGAGAUUGUCAAUUCAAAGAGGAGGUUAUGAAUAGUAGCUUCCCUAAAAAUUGGAUUCGAAAGUUAAAUCCCGAUGUUAGACAUAACUUUUAAUCUUUUGAUGGUCUGUUAGACAUCAAUGAAUGCAGCUUUCUUGAGAAAUAUGUUUGGCAUAGGAUUUGUGCUAAUACGAACGGCAGCUAGAAUUGCGUGCGCAUGUAAACUCUUUUGUUAGGUACGUGGAACUGCAUGAUUGAGCAAUUGAAAUGGAAAAAAAGCAAAAGAAAUAGAAAAGAAACUAAACGUCAUUGACAAAGCUAUGAAACACAAACGGGAAGUUAUAUGAAGCUAAAACUUGAUUGGUACUGCGCAGGUGUUAUCAUCGGUGCAAGGAAUGGCACGGGGCUGCUACUGUUAUAUAUAGGUUUUUGUGGUUCUAAGAAAGAAAUGGAAGAAAAGAAAUCAAAAGAAAAUAAGGGUAAAGUACGUCCGUCAAAAUUAUGGAUUACCACUACAAUAGUUAAUCUAAUCCAUUGAAAAUAUUGC
rnacentral:lncRNA from 1 species